rnacentral:snRNA from 1 species
AUACUCUGGUUUCUCUUCAGAUUGUAUAAAUCUCUUGCCUUUUACUGAAGAUUUCCUCGAAGAGGAGCAGUUAUGAGCCUGGCCACUUUGAUUUGUUGCUAAAUAUUUUAAAAUAUUU